GGCUCGCAGACAUGGGGCUGCCAUCCGGUAGUUUGGCAGGGGGUAGAUGUAAAUAAACGGUGGACCGGCUGCAAAAGGGCCGCCUCGCUGGGCAAGAUCAGGUUGUGCCACGGAACCCGCUCCUCAGUUAGUCACACUUCGGAAGCGCGGGCAACGCAGGUGCAAGUGUCUUGAGGGCCGGCUGCAACCGGUC
rnacentral:sRNA from 1 species